rnacentral:misc_RNA from 1 species
AAACUAUAUCGAAGAAAAUGAUGAAGUGUUGAUAGCUGGGUUUGGGCGAAAGGGUCAUGCUGUGGGUGAUAUUCCUGGUGUGAGGUUUAAGGUUGUGAAAGUUUCAGGUGUGUCGUUGCUGGCCCUCUUCAAGGAGAAGAAAGAGAAGCCCCGUUCUUAAGUCUUACUUACUGUGAUAUUAUCCUGAAUGUCUGCCCCAGUAGGAACUUGUUUCUUGAUAUCUUUUUCUGUGAUUUUGUUGUGUAAGAA